rnacentral:rRNA from 1 species
CACUUCUAGCAUAACAAGUAUUAGAGGCACCGCCUGCCCAGUGACUUAUUAAAGUUAAACGGCCGCGGUAUCCUGACCGUGCAAAGGUAGCAUAAUCACUUGUUCUUUAAAUAAGGACUAGUAUGAAAGGCUUGACGAGGGUUUAACUGUCUCUUGCUUACAGUCAGUGAAAUUGACCUUCCCGUGAAGAGGCGGGAAUAAAACAAUAAGACGAGAAGACCCUAUGGAGCUUAAAUUCAUUAAUUCAUUUCACAUACACCAAAUCUACAAGAAACAAAAAACAAAUUAUGAAUUAACAAUUUUGGUUGGGGUGACCUCGGAGCAAAAAUAAACCUCCGAAUGAUAUUAACUUAGACAUACAAGUCAAAGUUCACAUCAUAAAUUGACCCAGUAAUUAUCUGAUCAACGAACCAAGUUACCCUAGGGAUAACAGCGCAAUCUUAUUUUAGAGUCCAUAUCGACAAUAAGGUUUACGACCUCGAUGUUGGAUCAGGACCCCCAAAUGGUGCAACCGCUAUUUAAGGUUCGUUUGUUCAACGAUUAAAGUCCU